rnacentral:lncRNA from 1 species
GAAAAUCUGUUAAAGACUUACCAUACACAGGAUUCUCUAGCAAGUGUAGUGGUCCAAUGGUGUAAAUUGGAGGAAGAUAAGAUGAAAGUUCAUCUAAUACAUCAUGUUCCAGUUGUUGAAAGGUGUUUAUAAUGAUGGCAGAGGCCUUUCUAGAUCUCUGAGUUUCUUGCAUGACGAAUUUCAACAUGAAAUCAUCGGGAUUUGUGGUUCGAAAGAAGCUUGGAAGAUCCUUCAAGCGUAUACCCUCUAAUCCUGGAAUCCAAUCUAGAACAGUGUCUAGAUAUCCAUUUGUCAAAUAACUAGCAUCUGCAAGGCAUAAGAUGUACGACACCGAGUAUCAUCAGAAUCAUACAAGGGCAUCCAUUUAGGAAGAGGCAUUAAAUGUUCAAGCUAUUUUCUUUUUUGAGAAAAAGUUUCCAAAAAUAUGUGGAAGAAGAGAAUAAAUGACCACGAAAAAUUUUGAACACACAUUUUUCAUCAAAAAAUAGUCGUACCUUUGAGUGGCAUGAUACCCUUUUCGAUAAACUUGUCAAACUGGAAAUACGGCAAGUAGGAAGAUGCGCUGGAGGUCCAAAGAAGAACUUCAGGGAUGCCAAGUUCUUGAGCAGCUGCUAGAGUGAAGGUCAUUGCUCCAUCGGAAACUAUGCAAGAAACAGGGGGCACUUCUGAGGAAGAGGUAUCGUUGAGUUCAGCAAGUAGCUCCCUGAAGGGACCUAAGCAAGUUCUAUCAAAAGAUUCACAAAGGGUUGGAAUAUCUGGGGUAGCAUCGACCUCAGAAGGAGGAAGUCCGUCAGGGAUGGCUUUAAAUUGGAAAUCAGGCAGUCCCUUUAAGGCAUCAGGACCGCUGGAUUUAAGCAAGCGCCUGUGGUUGAAUUCUGUGUUGACAAAGGUGAUAUGAAAACCCUUUUGGUGGAGGAGCUUGGCUAGCUUUAGCAUGGGGUUUAUGUGGCCUUGAGCUGGAGCUGGUAUGCAGACGGCGUGAGGCUUCUUCUCCAGUAAAGCAGUGGAACCCAUUCUUCUUGCCAGCGGAUUUGAGUGGACAAAUUGUACGUUAUCACACAGCAGCCACUAGUUGGGAAUUGGGUUGAUGGUAAAGUAAAAAAAAAACCAAUGAAGAGCUAGUGCAAAUAUUCGAGAAAGGGCAGUGUAACAUAAUUAUGUGUUUGUAUUGACUUCUAUUUCACUUUAUUUAUAUCUUAUUUACAUACACUUAUUUGCUUGCAUCAUCAACAUAUUUUUCAAUUAUUUUUUUAUCUCACAUACAUCACAUCAAAAAAAUAUUACAGUAUUUUUUCACAAAAUUAUCUCAAAUAAUUUACAAUCCAAAUACAAUAUUUCACAUGGUAGCUACUGUCAAUUAUUUAAAGCAAAUUAUAAUCUUCCGCACGUUAUAGGUUCUAUCAAUUUUUUAAGGGAUAAUUUCGGAAACCUCCCUUGUGAUUUCUGAUUAUUUCACUGGUUUUCUCCAAAAUUUUAAAAAUUACACUAACCUCCCUUGAGGUUAAUUAUUUUAUAAUAUUUAGGUCAAACCAAUAAUUAAAAAGUGAUAUUAGGAGAGAGAAGAUAACAUAGUUCCAUCAUUGCCCAUCAUCUAUUAUAUUAUUUAAUUAAUUUAAUAUCAAUUCACACAUUAAAGAAAAAUACUAAAAUUUGCUGUUUAUCAUUAGGGAUCAAAUCAUAUUUAUCAUCAAAAAAAUAAUAUAUCAUUUUAUAUUUUUCACUCAAUACAAGAAUUAAAUUACUCUUUUCAAUUAUAUAUCCAUUAUCAAACAUGAUCAACAAUAAAUAAUAAUAAUAAUUUGUAAUUAAAAUAUUAUAGAGAACAAUUUUUAACAUCAUAAAUAUUAUUGUCAGCAUAUUAAGAUUAGUUAUUGAGAUUUUAUGGUAUUAAAGUUCACUCCUUAUAAUAUUUUAAUUGUAAAUUUUUUGAUUAUUUGUUGUUGAUCAUGUUUGACAAUAGAUUCGUAAUUAAAAAGAGUAAUUUGAAUCUUACAUUAAAUAAAAUAUAUAAAAUGAUAUACUAUUUUUAAUACUAUAUGUAAUUUAAAUCCUGAUGAUUAACAACAAAUUCUAGUGUUUUCUUUAAUAUUUGGGCUAGUAUUAAAUUAAUUAAAUAAUUUAGUAGAUGAAGAGUAAUGGUGAAAUCAUAUCUAUCUUUUCUCUCCUAACAUCAUUUUUUAAUUGUUGACUGGACCUAAAUGUUGCAAGAUAAUAAAUCUCAAGGGAGGUUAAUUAAUUUUUAAAACUUAAAAGAGAGAUGAGUGAAACAGUUAGAAACCUCACGGAAGAUUUUUGAAAUUAUCCCCAAUUUUAACCCACCAUUCACAUCUCCACAGACGUCGUCAUCGAGCAACCAAUUAUUUUGCUCUUUCUCCGAUUCAAUUUUCUGCACUUUGUGAUUUCAUUAUGCUAACUUGGCCCCACAAGUUUAGACGGCUCAGCUGCUAUAAUUUUUCCGGAUCCAAAUGACGUGACAUUAAAAAAAAAAAAAAAUUUUGACGUGACAUUAGACUGAAUACCUGGGUUAGGACGGGUCAGUCUAAUACCCAAUGAAAUGGUGCCAUUUUGAAGACGCUCCGAUGUUUCACCAAGUAAUAAUCUUCCGUACAUGGUAACUUCAAUCAAAUUUUUAAAGCAAAUUUUACGUCUUUUAACCGUUGAUGCUGUGAUUUCUCCUCAAUAGUAAUAAUCUUCCGUACAUGGUAAAUUCAGUCAAAGAUAAAGUUUAAAAAAAUGCUGGAAAUUCUUCAUUUCUACGUCUCCUGCAGGAAUCUUUCAUGAAGGCGGUAGCAAAAGGGUGUAAUGAAUAUGCAGCAGAAGCUGAAUUUUUAUUUUGAACUAAAUGCUUGCGUAUUUAUUGCACGGGGAAAAAGACAGCUCAUUGCUCGAGUCGUUACCAACGCCAGAGGGUUACCUCAAAGUCCAUAAUUAAUGCUAAAAUGAUACUUUGUCCCAAGAAAAAUAAAUAAAUAAAUAAUAAAAUAUUGGAAAUUCCCUGCCACAAGGCAUUUCUGAUCUCUGGAAGCUACAUGUCUGAUUUUUCUGCUUAAUUAAAUUUAGAUGAGGGACACGUAUGUUGAGAAGAAAUUAAUUUCUAGAGUUAAGACACAAUAUGCUUUUCAAACCAUUAGUUAAUGACCAGUGCCCAAUUGAUACUCGUUAGUACAUUUAUAUCACAACAAACUUAUCAUAUGACUUCAUAAUAACAAUGAUUACUCCGUUUUAUAUUUAUAUGUUUGUCUUAAUUAAUACUCCCUCCGUCCCAUUUUAAUAGUCCUGUAUUCCUUUUUUAUCUGUCCCAAAUUGUAGUCCACUUUCCAAUUGAAGAAUGUAGUUGUAUUUUAAUUUUUCUAAAAUACCCUUAUUCAAUGUAAGUAGUUGUUACUAUAAACCUACCCCAUUUAAUGAGAGUUGAUUCUUUUUUUACCAUGAAUUCAAGUUCCCAUAAAGUUGUACCAUAUUUAAUGUGAGGGUAUUUUAGGAAAAUAGCAAUCUAAAUUUAUUUUUCCAACAAAGUUAACUACUUUUUCUUAAACUGUGUGAAAAAAGAAAUAGAACUAUCAAAGUGGGACGGAGGGAGUAUUAUUUUCUCAAAAUAUGAACACCUUCCUGGACAGACCCGUGAUUAAUUAUUUGUUUCUCCACCAUGCCUCCUCACUCUUCUCUUCUUGGAUGGCGAAUUGGGACCAUACCUCUCAAAACAGGUCCUUUUUUUUUUUGGGUGGUUGUGCUUUCUUUAUGAAUAGGAUGGACAUAGACGGAUGUAGCCCAAACGACAUAUGGCCCUCACUUGGCCAGCAAUGCAAAAUUUGAAAAUAAUGUUCGGCUUAGACAAUAAUAUCUUAUAAUUAUUAUCAUUGUAGGGAGUUGUUAAUGAUUCGGUAAAUCUCAAAUGACACAUAUAUAUUAGCGGUUGGACAUAAGACGGUUGUAGCCCAAACCACAUAAGGCCCUCAUUUGGACAAUAUCUUAUACUCUAUUCGUCCUACUUUGAUAGUCUUUUUUUUUUCAUCUGUUCCAAAUUAUAGUCCACUUUCUAAUUGAAAAAUGUAGUUAUUUUUUAAUUUCUCUAAAAUACCCUUAUUCAAUGCAGAUUGUUAUUAAUAUAAACUACCUUAUUUAAUGUAGAUUGUUAACCUAUCCCAUUUAAUACAUUUAGAUUUAAUGUGAAACAAUAUAAAAUGAGGAUUAAUUCUUUCUUGACUAUCAAUUCAAGUUUUUAUGAAUAAUUAAUAUAAAGUUGUACUCUAUUUAAUGUAAGGGUAGUUUAGAAAAAUAGCAAUCUAAAUUUGUUUUUCUAACAAAGUUAACUACUUUUUCUUAAACUGUAUGAAAGAAAUACUAGGACUGUCUGAAAGAAAAACAAAGUUAUCUAAAUGGGACGGAGGAAGUAAUUAUUAUCAUCAUUGUAGGGAGUUGUUAAAUAUUCAGUAAGUCUCUUCCAUGUUGAAAACAUAUAUAUUAGCGGGUCUAAAUACAUGCAACGUAUUAAAAAUUUGGUAUUCAAAUUUAAAUUGAGAUUAUGUAUCAUGCAUUUAAAGCAGCUAAUGUAUACAUUAUCAAUGUAAAUAAGAUUAAUCCAUAAAUAUUAUAUUUCUAUUCCAAAGAUAUAAUUUGUAUUAAAUUAUAACAGUUGCCCAUUGAGCCCCCAUUCUCCUGAGUAGGUAUAUACAAAUUUUACAUUCUCUUGAGUAGGUAAUUUACUUCCUGUUAGGAGGAUUUGUGCACUCAAGGCAAAGGCGUGAAGUUUCUGGCAAAGUUCGUAAUGCGCCUUAACGUACUCAAGGCAAAGUUUCUAGAACGCAGAUAAAUAAAAGCUCAUCUGCACAUGGGCGUAUGUUCCACAUUUAUUCAAGUAAAACUACACGCAUGUUUCUAAUAAUAUCAAAUCUGGUUAAACACUGGUUAAUAGGAGCCCAAAAGUAAAUUCUUAAAUACAUUUAGUGGUCGAAGUAAAUUCUUAAAUACUAUGAACACAUAUCAAAUUGCCUUUGCACCUUCGAACUCUGGUCAAUGAGAUGCCAAAGCACAUUCAUCAAUCAGUUACAAAAAUGAUAGAAAUAUUGCAGCAAACAACGGAUCAGCAAUGGGAAAAAUUAAACAAGAAAUAAAGAACUCAAGAAGCAUUUUUGAAAACGAACCAUGCAUGUACGAGUGAUUAAAAAGAAAACCUCUAACCAAGUCCAAAUUCAACGAGCCGUAGAACAACUCUUUAGAUUCACGGUUCUUGAUGUUUCAAAUGCUUGGAUUGAGAAGCACUUGAUGAAUCAAAUUCUCAAGAUUUGAGUUAGAAUCUGUCACAGCCAUUUCUGCCAGUUUUUUCCAGUCCAUGGCUUUCUUCUUCAUUUCCUUGCCCUUCUCCCCAGCCAUUAACUCGCUAACAAGGCUUUCAAUUUCAUCCCUCUUGACAUUAUUGUCUAUCUCCAUUCCAAUACCCCAUUUAUUGCAGCAAAACCAGCAAUUAGUUUGUUGAUCAGCAAAAAAUGGCCAGCAGAACAAAGGCACCCCAUAACUAAUACUUUCGAUUGUGGAAUUCCACCCACUAUGAGUUAAGAAUCCUCCAACAGAAGGAUGUCUGAGAACUUUCUCUUGAGGGCACCAGCCUGCAAACAUACUUCUUUCUUUGGUUUCUUCAACAAAUUCACUUGGCAGAAUAGCUGAACUGCCUGAGACAAGAUCUGGCCUUAAAAUCCACAAAAAGUUUUGUUUGCUAUUAGCAAGUCCCCAAGCAAAUUCGACUAGUUGCUCAGGUGUCAUAGCAGCAAUGCUUCCAAAGUUGACAUAAACCACAGAGUUUGGAUCUUUCGAACAAGCCAUUCAAGACAUUCUGGCUCUUCCUUCCAGAGAUUUGAUUGAAUAUCUGGUAAAGACUUAUCAUGCACAUGAUUCUCUAGCAAGUGUAGUGGUCCAAUGGUGUAAAUUGGAGGAAGAUAAGAUGAAAGUGCAUCUAAUACAUCAUGUUCCAGUUGUUGAAAGGUGUUUAUAAUGAUGGCAGAAGCCUUUCUAGAUCUCUGAGUUUCUUGCAUGACGAAUUUCAACAUGAAAUCAUCGGGAUUUGUGGUUCCAAAGAAGCUUGGAAGAUCCUUCA